rnacentral:lncRNA from 1 species
ACACUGGAUGCUUCAGUGGACACAACCAGCCUUCAAGAAGCACGUGGACCUAGAGAAAGCUCUGCCACCUACAUGCCACAGCAUGUUCAUGCCGAGAACUGCAGGGAAAAAAGAAAUGGCUUAUAUUGACAGACUACCAUCAAUGUGCCAGAGAGGUCUUCUUAUCUCAUCUUAGAGGUGAGAGAACAAGUCAACCCGCUGGUAAACGGGCCAAUCAGAAAUGAAAUCAGUUCAUCACCAGUUUCCAUUUUAAAAAGCCUCCUGCAUCAUUCUCUGCACAUAUGCAGCAGAUAUAGACACACAAGCACACCCCUAAGGAGACAGCCCACUUGGACUCAAGGACAUUCACUGUGGCAGCUCUCUGAAGACAGUAUUAUUUCUUUGGCACAGAAAAGCGUGCUGUUCCUUAAGAGGACAUUAGAGGAGAACAACUUGUCUCCCUACUGAACCCUUUGCACAGAUAUCUUCUAGAAGGACUUGUUCCUUACCCACUGGCCCUUGAUUCUGUCUCACUACUGAAUGAGGCUUGUCCACCAAACAGCUUUAAGGAUGGGUGUGUGCUCCGGAGAGAGCAGGAAACAAGUGAGAGCCGGUCUGCUUUCUGUGGGUCAGCCAACGUCUCCGCCAGUCCUAUGACUGUCAUUUCACUGAGGAUUGAUAUGCCUGAAGUCACUACAAAAACAAAUGAUGCUCUAAAGCUCAUUCUGCCCUUGCAUGAAGAAGCCAAAAAAAUCGGGCUCUAAUCUAUUUUAGAAUUGGCAUAAUGAGACAAAAGAGUCCACUGUGGGAAAUUUUUGCUUAUGCAAUGAAA